GACGAACGCUGGCGGCGUGCCUAAUACAUGCAAGUCGAACGCAGUGGGGACGGGUGAGUAACCCGUGGUUAACCUCCCAUCAGAGGGGAUAACACUUGGAAACAGGUGCUAAACCUAUACUGAUGGAUGGACCCGCGGUGCAUUAGCUCGUUGGUGGGGUAACGGCUCACCAAGGCCACGAUGCAUAGCAGACCGGAGAGGGUGAGCGGCCACACUGAGACUGAGACAAGGCCCGGACUCAUACGGGAGGCAACAGUAGGGAAUCUUCGGAAAUGGACGAAAGUCUGACCGAACAACGCCGCGUGGGUGAAGAAGGUUUUCGGAUCGUAAAACUCUGUUGUUAGAGAAGCGGUAUCAAACCAGAAAGCAACGGCUAACUACGUGCCAGCAGCCGCGGUAAUUC
rnacentral:rRNA from 1 species